AUCUGGUGUGAGAGGAAUGCAAGAAGACACGGUGAGUUACCCUCUCAAUUAGCUCAAU
rnacentral:sRNA from 1 species